rnacentral:rRNA from 1 species
GUGGGGAAUAUUGGACAAUGGGCGAAAGCCUGAUCCAGCAAUGCCGCGUGAGUGAAGAAGGCCUUCGGGUUGUAAAGCUCUUUUACCCGGGAAGAUAAUGACUGUACCGGGAGAAUAAGCCCCGGCUAACUCCGUGCCAGCAGCCGCGGUAAUACGGAGGGGGCUAGCGUUGUUCGGAAUUACUGGGCGUAAAGCGCACGUAGGCGGUCUUUUAAGUCAGAGGUGAAAGCCCGGGGCUCAACUCCGGAAUUGCCUUUGAAACUGGAAGACUUGAACACGGGAGAGGUGAGUGGAAUUCCGAGUGUAGAUGUGAAAUUCGUAGAUAUUCGGAGGAACACCAGUGGCGAAGGCGGCUCACUGGACCGUUGUUGACGCUGAGGUGCGAAAGCGUGGGGAGCAAACAGGAUUAGAAACCCCUGUAGUCC